rnacentral:rRNA from 1 species
AUUGAACGCUGGCGGCAGGCCUAACACAUGCAAGUCGAGCGGUAGCACAGAGAGCUUGCUCUCGGGUGACGAGCGGCGGACGGGUGAGUAAUGUCUGGGAAACUGCCUGAUGGAGGGGGAUAACUACUGGAAACGGUAGCUAAUACCGCAUAAUGUCGCAAGACCAAAGUGGGGGACCUUCGGGCCUCAUGCCAUCAGAUGUGCCCAGAUGGGUUUAGCUAGUAGGUGGGGUAACGGCUCACCUAGGCGACGAUCCCUAGCUGGUCUGAGAGGAGGACCAGCCACACUGGAACCGAGACACGGUCCGGACUCCUACGGGAGGGAGCAGUGGGGAAUAUUGCACAAUGGGCGCAAGCCUGAUGCAGCCAUGCCGCGUGUGUGAAGAAGGCCUUCGGGUUGUAAAGCACUUUCAGCGGGGAGGAAGGCGUUAAGGUUAAUAACCUUGUCGAUUGACGUUACCCGCAGAAGAAGCACCGGCUAACUCCGUGCCAGCAGCCGCCGUAA